GGCAAUUUUGGGAGCGGCGUAGAUCGCAAUUUCUUUUUGUUUUUUUAAAAAAAUGGAGCUGAAAUUAUUCUUUUUAAGCGCAACACAUCGAAGAAUACUCGUCGCGUUGCUUAAGUUGUGAUAAAGGAAGAGUCGCAAUGGUUGUUAAUCAUAGAGAAAAUUCAAGAACCACCAGCCAAAAAGUAUGAGCGGUAGAAAUUCUGGAAGGACAAGUUUGCAAAAGCUCCUGGAGAAUUGCGCACCAAAUUGAGAACAAACAUGCUGGAGAAAGUUAACAGUGUUGCUCAGUUGGUCUAAUUUCCCACCCUUCAUGCUGUUAUAAGUGCUAGUGCUGCACCAACCUGGUAAAGAUUUCACUUCUCCUCAGACAACACUGGAAACUCCAAGUGUAAGUAAGAAUCCAUAUCUGACCACUUCAUAGGAGCUUGGGAAUGCAUGAACACUCUGCUACAGUCACUUUAGAGGUGUACUGAAUGCAUUGGAUUACUUGAACAUAAAAAAACAUCCAAUUGCCCAUGACCAAAUAAAUCAACAGGUAUUUUAUCGAGGUAUAAACAAAGAAAAUUUGAUGUGGAGGAUGCAGGUGUCGUGUUUCGCUGGUUGU